rnacentral:rRNA from 1 species
AUUGAACGCUGGCGGCAUGCCUUACACAUGCAAGUCGAACGGUAACAGGUUAAGCUGACGAGUGGCGAACGGGUGAGUAAUGUAUCGGAACGUGCCCAGUCGUGGGGGAUAACUGCUCGAAAGAGCAGCUAAUACCGCAUACGACCUGAGGGUGAAAGCGGGGGAUCGCAAGACCUCGCGCGAUUGGAGCGGCCGAUAUCAGAUUAGGUAGUUGGUGAGGUAAAGGCUCACCAAGCCGACGAUCUGUAGCUGGUCUGAGAGGACGACCAGCCACACUGGGACUGAGACACGGCCCAGACUCCUACGGGAGGCAGCAGUGGGGAAUUUUGGACAAUGGGCGCAAGCCUGAUCCAGCCAUGCCGCGUGCGGGAAGAAGGCCUUCGGGUUGUAAACCGCUUUUGUCAGAGAAGAAAAGGUUCUGGCUAAUACCUGGGACUCAUGACGGUACCUGAAGAAUAAGCACCGGCUAACUACGUG